GUGAUAUAAUAUUUUUAUAUUCAAGUCGGUGAAGAUGGAUUAAUCAACCUGCCGACCAUUUUUCCGUGCUAAAUCGCUCGUUGUAACCUUUUGGGAUACUGGAUUGUUAUAGCGGUACGCAUUAGUGAUAAUGUAGUUGAAUAAAGUAAGUAGUCAACACUUUAAAGACGUUGGAGAAAUGACGGAAGUUGCCUUGAUGUAAAGUACGAUUAGGUAUAAGUGAUGAUAAUAGAUGGUAGUCAAAAGCUACAUGAAUCCUAUAAACCUGUUGCGUGAGAAACAAUAGUUAGGUAGGAAAUCUCAAAAUAAGUCACCACCAAGUGAUAGUAUAGGAAAUGAUGCUAUUUUAUACGUGUCGGUUCGAGUAGCCUAAAUCUUGGUUUACAAGAAUAUUCUUAAUUAUUUACUAGAAGAAAAUAAUCUGAAUGAUAGGUGAAAGUUAGUGCUGCUAGUGUAACUCGGAUCUUGAAAUGUGAUAGAAGCUAUUAGGUCGCUCCUUUUAGUUCAGACUAUCAUAAUCCGUGACUGAACAACAUCAAUACCAAUGGAAGUAGAACGAAAGUUCGAAUAUAUUAUUUUUUAAAA
ncrna:unclassified sequences ROOL RNA